AUGCCUCUAAAAGAGAAGGCUAGGACAGACCAAAGCGAGGAGCUGCAACUCCAUUUGGUUCUCCUACAUGAGUGGCAGGGACUCAGUAUUGCCUCCCAAGAUGUAUAUUCAUGGAAAACUGGGGCAGAAAUGAAGCAGCUUGGACUUGAACUGGAACUCAGAUAUGGGAUAUCAGCACCUGAAAUGUGGUUGAAACUGCUGUGGUGUAAGGUCUGCCCCAUUAUUGUAUACAUAAUGGCACUCACUUUACACAUGAGAAAACUGUCUUUGGAAAUAUUAUGUAUUUAUGAAUUUUGUGGUGAAGACAGAAAGCUACAUUUCAAAACUUCAAGUACCUGGCGCUUCUUGACUUGUCCACGGGCGACACUUGAAAUUACAAAAGAGAUGUGUCAAUGCAAGAGAUGGGAAGACUGA
rnacentral:lncRNA from 1 species